rnacentral:rRNA from 1 species
ACCCCUUGGCCAGGUCGGAGCGGCAGCGGAAGUAGCUUGCUACUUUGCCGGCGAGCGGCGGAAGGAAGAGUAAUGUCUGGGAAACUGCCUGAUGGAGGGGGAUAACUACUGGAAACGGUAGCUAAUACCGCAUGACCUCGAAAGAGCAAAGUGGGGGAUCUUCGGACCUCACGCCAUCGGAUGUGCCCAGAUGGGAUUAGCUAGUAGGUGAGGUAAUGGCUCACCUAGGCGACGAUCCCUAGCUGGUCUGAGAGGAUGACCAGCCACACUGGAACUGAGACACGGUCCAGACUCCUACGGGAGGCAGCAGUGGGGAAUAUUGCACAAUGGGCGCAAGCCUGAUGCAGCCAUGCCGCGUGUGUGAAGAAGGCCUUAGGGUUGUAAAGCACUUUCAGCGAGGAGGAAGGCAUCACACUUAAUACGUGUGGUGAUUGACGUUACUCGCAGAAGAAGCACCGGCUAACUCCGUGCCAGCAGCCGCGGUAAUACGGAGGGUGCAAGCGUUAAUCGGAAUUACUGGGCGUAAAGCGCACGCAGGCGGUUUGUUAAGUCAGAUGUGAAAUCCCCGCGCUUAACGUGGGAACUGCAUUUGAAACUGGCAAGCUAGAGUCUUGUAGAGGGGGGUAGAAUUCCAGGUGUAGCGGUGAAAUGCGUAGAGAUCUGGAGGAAUACCGGUGGCGAAGGCGGCCCCCUGGACAAAGACUGACGCUCAGGUGCGAAAGCGUGGGGAGCAAACAGGAUUAGAUACCCUGGUAGUCCACGCUGUAAACGAUGUCGACUUGGAGGUUGUGCCCUUGAUGCGUGGCUUUCCGGAGCUAACGCGUUAAGUCGACCGCCUGGGGAGUACCGCCGCAAGGUUAAAACUCAAAUGAAUUGACGGCGCCCGCCACAAGCGGUGGAGCAUGUGGUUUAAUUCGAUGCACGCGAAGUACCUUACCUACUCUUGACAUCCACUGAAUUCGCCAGAAAUGGCUUAUUGCCUUCGUAACCGUGAGACGGUGCUGCAUUGCCUGUCGUCAGCUCGUGUUAGUGAAAUGGUUGGGUUAACGUUCCCGCAAACGAGCGCUAGCCCUUUAUCCUUUCGUUGCCAGCUCGUAAACGGUGGGUACCUCAAAGGGACACUGCCCGGAGAAAUAAACCGGAGGGAUGUGUGGUGAUUAACGUUCAAGUCUCGUCAUGGCCCCUUUACUCAGCUAAGGGCCUACCAU